rnacentral:rRNA from 1 species
GACGAACGCUGGCGGCGUGCUUAACACAUGCAAGUCGAACGGAAAGGCCCCUUUGGGGGUACUCGAGUGGCGAACGGGUGAGUAACACGUGAGUAACCUGCCCUUGACUUCGGGAUAACUUCAGGAAACUGGGGCUAAUACCGGAUAGGAAUCCUUGCUGCAUGGUGGGGGUUGGAAAGCUUCGGCGGUUUUGGAUGGACUCGCGGCUUAUCAGCUUGUUGGUGGGGUAGUGGCUUACCAAGGCUUUGACGGGUAGCCAGCCUGAGAGGGCGACCGGCCACAUUGGGACUGAGAUACGGCCCAGACUCCUACGGGAGGCAGCAGUGGGGAAUAUUGCACAAUGGGCGGAAGCCUGAUGCAGCAACGCCGCGUGCGGGAUGACGGCCUUCGGGUUGUAAACCGCUUUCAGCAGGGGCGAAGCUUGUGGUGACGGUACCUGCAGAAGAAGCACCGGCUAACUACGUG